rnacentral:rRNA from 1 species
AAUGAACGUUGGCGGCGUGGAUUAGGCAUGCAAGUCGAGCGCUCAUAGCAAUAUGGGAGCGGCGAACGGCGUAGUAAGACGUAGGAACGUACCCUCGGGUCGGGGAUAGCUACGGGAAACUGUAGGUAAUACCCGAUAAUCUCUGCGGAGCAAAGGUGUGAUUCCGCCUGAGGAGCGGCUUACGCGAUAUUAGCUAGUUGGUGGGGUAAUGGCCUACCAAGGCGAUGAUGUCUAGGGGGUGUGAGAGCAUGGCCCCCACGACCGGAACUGAGAUACUGUCCGGACACCUACGGGUGGCUGCAGUCGAGAAUCUUCCGCAAUGGACGAAAGUCUGACGGAGCGACGCCGCGUGCGGGAUGAAGGCCCUUGGGUUGUAAACCGCUGUCAGAGGGGAUGAAAUCUUCGGAGGUACUCCUCCGAAGUUGACAGAGCCUCAAAGGAAGCACGGGCU